rnacentral:rRNA from 1 species
GACGAACGCUGGCGGCGUGCUUAACACAUGCAAGUCGAACGGAAAGGCCCUGCUUUUGUGGGGUGCUCGAGUGGCGAACGGGUGAGUAACACGUGAGUAACCUGCCCUUGACUUUGGGAUAACUUCAGGAAACUGGGGCUAACACCGGAUAGGAGCUCCUGCUGCUUGGUGGGGGUUGGAAAGUUUCGGCGGUUGGGGAUGGACUCGCGGCUUAUCAGCUUGUUGGUGGGGUAGUGGCUUACCAAGGCUUUGACGGGUAGCCGGCCUGGGAGGGUGACCGGCCACAUUGGGACUGAGAUACGGCCCAGACUCCUACGGGAGGCAGCAGUGGGGAAUAUUGCACAAUGGGCGGGAGCCUGAGGCAGCAACGCCGCGUGCGGGAUGACGGCCUUCGGGUUGUAAACCGCUUUCGCCUGUGACGAAGCGUGAGUGACGGUAAUGGGUAAAGAAGCACCGGCUAACUACGUG